GACGAACCGUGCGAACGUUGUUCGGAAUCACUGGGCUUAAAGGGCGCGUAGGCGGUCAAUCCAGUCGGGGGUGAAAUCUUGCAGCUUAACUGUAAAAGUGCCUUCGAUACUGAUUGACUCGGAGGGAGGUAGGGGCAGGUGGAACUUCCAGUGGAGCGGUGAAAUGUGUUGAUAUUGGAAGGAAACGCCGGGUGGCGAAAGCGACCUGCUGGAUCUCUUCUGACGCUGAGGCGCGAAAGCUGAGGGAGCAAACGGG
rnacentral:rRNA from 1 species